ACCUGGCUGGCUCAGUAAAGCAUGAGACUCUUGGUCUCAGGGUCAUGAGUUCGAGUCCCAUGUUGGGUG
rnacentral:tRNA from 1 species